rnacentral:lncRNA from 1 species
UUGAUUUUAUCUUUAUCUGAUUAUCUUUAACCAUGAUUUUCUGCAUGCAUGAAUAGUGUAAUGUUUAUGUUGAAUGGAUAUUAUUAGGAUUUUGUUGUUAUGAUUAGAACUUCUAUUUUAGUUAAAGGAAUGCAAAACUGAUUCCUACACCCGCUCAUACACCUGCCCGCUCAUGAAUCUCGGAUGCAUCUGCCCAUACCCCGCCUAUCUAAAAAAUGUGGGCCCCAUCAAAGCUCCCGGUUAAGGAGAGAGCUUUCGUAUUGUUUUAUGUUCCUCCAAUUCAUAGUUAUAUAUAAUAUAAAUAAGUUCAUAUUUAGUUCUUCAUUAUUAUACAAACAAUCUGCCUUAUAUUAACUUUUAUUCUUAAUAUUUAUACUAGGUUUUUAUUCUACUAUAUUGUAUGCAAAUUUAUUUUAAAUUUUCUAUCCAUCAUAUUAUGUUUAUUUUCUAACCAUUUUUAGUAUAUUUUCUAUUUCGUAUAUUUUAUAUUUUCAUAUGUUCUGAAAAUUAUAUGUUUCUAAAAAAAAAAUAUUAUGAAUAUGGUUGUAAUUCAAAUAUUAUCUUCCCGUAGCACGGGCCCGUACCUAGUGAUUAUUAUAAUAGCAACUUAUUCCUAGUCUCACACUCGAAGUCUCCAACUGCUGGAAUUUUCCUACGUCGAGUUCGAGUUGAAUAUGAAUAUAAUAGUUUUUUUAAAAUUUCAUAUGUUAUGAAAAUUAUAUGUUUCUAAAAAAAAAUAUUAUGAAUAUGGUAAUAAUUCAAAUAUUAUCUUCCCGUAGCAUUGUGUCGAAGUCUCUAACCGUUGGAAUUUUCCUACAUCGAGUUCGAGUCGGACAGGAAUAUAAUAGUUUUUCUAAAUUUUUUUUUAACUUGACAUUUCUUAAUAUAUAUUUCUCUCGCACGUUAAUUAAUCAUCACUCCUAAGUUCUUCUUCGCAUCGCUUAAUUUGAUUCCACCUCCGCUUCAUCCCCGCGUCUCGCUGCAGCUGCGGUAGUAGCUUCUACGACAUCGUUGUUCCGUCUCCUCCGCAGCCCUACGACGCUUGUGACCUCCACAUCGAUCUUGAAGAAGAAGCAAGCACACCAUGGAAAAAAAACCUCGUUGUCUCCUGGCUCCCUCCUCCAGAGAGCUGGGUAAAGCUGAAUGCCAACGGUUCUUUCGUCAGCAAAGACUCGAGCGAAGGCGCCGGCUUCGUGGCCACAGACUGCAACGGCCACUUCCUCUUUGCUGGAGCUACGGAUUGCCAGGGCGUUGAUUCUCCGUACUCGGAGUUGUGUGGCAUCCGAUCCGCGCUGGCGGAGGCAAAAAAGGCUGGCUUGCUGCGUGUCAUCUUGGAGAGCGACUCAUCCUCCGCGAUCCACCUCGUUGGCGGGGGUAUCAAGAAUGCGCCCCGGGGAAUGAAAUAGUUGGUGCAGCAGUGUCAAGACCUCAGCGACAGCUUUCCUGAAAUCAUCAUCCAACAUACGUACCGAGAGGGCAAUAGCGUAGUUGAUCGUUUUGCCGUGGUAGACCGCCAAUCGGGACGAACCCAAUUCUUCGAGCAUUUCAUCGAGCUGCCGAACGCUGUCUGUCACCAAAGAUAAUGUUGUCUUUGAUAUGAACGAUGACGCUUUUGUGCGGCCUCCUAAACUAUAGUCUAUAUAUAUAGUAUCGUGUACUAUAUAUAUAUAUAUAUAUAUAUAUAUAUAUAAUAAUAUAUAUAUUGACUAGUAUUCUUCUCCUUCUAAAAAAAAUCAUACAUAUAUAAUUUGUUUAGAAAUGUUUCAAUACACGGGCUCAAUUAAAUCUAGCCAUUAUAUUUAAGGACAAAUUGACUUUUAUAUAGUAGUUACCUACUCAACAGUUACCAUUGAAAAUUAAUAGUAAGGAUAAUAUUGAAAAACAAAUACAAGCUAAUUACCAAAUUUGAUUAACCUUGCACAAAUAUUUUGUUCCUUAUUUAAUUUUGUUACUUACAAUUAAGAUAGUGGCUAAUUUGAUAAAUAAUAAACCUUUAUAAAAUUUAAUUUGAGCUUAAACUUUAUAAUUGUAUAUAUUAAAUUCAAAUUUAAUUUUAAUUUUAAUUUUCAGAAAGAAAAAAUUUAUGUUUAAAUGAAUAGUAUAUUAUAAUUCAAAUUGUUAAUUUGAUAUUAAAAUAACAUGAAAGUUCAAAUAUAUUAACUUAUUUUAAAUUGUAAAUUAUGUUGUACUCAUAAAGGUAACUUUUAUUAUUUAUUUAAAUUAAAAACUUCUAUUUUUUAAAUUAAAUUCAAAAUGGACAUGAAUUUCUCUCUCAACAAAAAAAAAGACAUGAGUUUGGAGGAAAAUGGAAUGCUAUGGAUGGGAAAUUUAAAAAGAUGGAAGAGGAAGAUGGAAAAAAUAAUCUAUCACUUAAAAAUUUUAAGUAUAAAUUAGCUAUUAAGCAAUGGAAAUGGAUUUCUCUCUCAACAAAAAAAAAAGGGAAAAUGGUUUCCAACGAAGAUGGGCUGUGAUGGAAAUUUUUCAAUCGAUAAGAGGGGUGACUAGUACCUAAGGCAACAAAAGCCAGUUACCCUCUUAAAUAAAAGACAUCUCCACCAUCUAUUUUAAAAAUUUUAAGAGCUGAGAUCUUAUGGCGCAUAAGAGUAUUGCUUUAAUUUGUUUUGUUUUAUUUUCAUCAGUUCAAUUCUUUAUCUAUAUCCGUAUGAUUUUUAUUCAUCAGAAAUAAAAAAUUGAGUUCGGUCGAAUUUGAUUUCGACUUUGGGUCAAUUCUGCUACCGUAUUUGUUUAGUUUUAUAUGAAUAUUCAUUGCUAACGUAUUUAGUGCAGAUUAUUCUGCUAAGGAAUUGUGCUACGCUUGACUAUAUAUUAUGUUUAUUAGUAACUGUACAUAGCAGUGGUGUAAACUAGUUAGCACACGAGUUCUUAGUAAGCUAUAUAUUCGUGUUCAAAUUUGCAAGUAUUUGGUAAAAUUGUACAAAACUUAUAAAAAAUAUAGACUAUUUUGAUUUAGCUAUUCAACUUUUUAAAAUUUUAAUUUGAUUUGAGUUAGUCAACAAUACUUUAACUUCAAAAUUAGAAUGCGACAUUUAUCUUUAUAUAUCUAAUUAGUAUACUUCAUAUAAUUUUGGCAACUAUGAAUUCGUUGGAAUAAGUAAUUAGUGUACUCUUAAAAGUUACAAUAUCGUUGAAUAACUCAAAUCAAAAAAUUUGUAAAGCUGGAUAGUAAAAUCAAAAUCUUGAAAGGUUGGAUAGCCAAUUUACAGUGAUCCAUUAUUCAGGUAAUUUUUGUAUAUUUUUACCAAACAUUUUCUUAAUUUUUGCUGUAAAAUAUGAUCUGAAAUUACUGUUUCAUUAUGUCAUUUUAUUUUAAAAGUGCUCCUUGUGCAAAGGCAAUGUGAAAUAAAAAUAAAAAUUCACCAACCGUAUGCUGAGUAUGCAUGUCUAGGUAGAGAUGUCAACGGGUUGGAUUUGAGGCGGAUUUUCAAAAACUCGAACCCAAACCCGACUCCAAACUCGAGACCCAAACCUGAAUCCGAACUCGAUGGAUUUAAAAAUCCAUAUCCAAAUCCGAACUCGACAAAAAUCUGAAACCCGAACCCGACCAAAAAUCCCAAACCGAACCUGAAAAUUCGAACCCGAAACAAUUAUUAUUUUUUUCAAUAAGUCAAAAUAUAUUACAUUAAAUCUAAAUAUUUAAAAUACAAAUUCAAAUAUAACAUCAAAUUUUUAUAUAUAUUAUCCAUAAUGCAAAAUAAAUUCGAAUUCGGGUCUGGUUCAGGUUCAGGUCGGGUACAGUCAAAAUCCAUAUCCGAAUCUAUAUCCGUCGGAUUUUUAUUUUUGAUAUCCACAUCCGAAUCCAUAUCUGCUUAGCAUUAAAUAUAUCCGCUCCAUUCGGGUUAGGAUUCGGAUAAAAUUUUGGAUAUCCGUACCCAUUGACAUUCCUAUGUCUAGGGGUUGUAACGUGGAAAGCGCAUGCCUGGAGGCAAGGAUGUAAAACGGGCUGAACGACUUGCGAGCCGCCGGGACCAGCAUGGCCUCGGGCCGGGCUGCAGCCUGGCACCGGCGGUCCGGCCUAUACCAUGCCCAGAAGCAGCCCACAGCAAGGCCUGAAACCCAAGAAACUUAUCUUGGGCCUUGGGGUUUGAGCUCCCGGAGAGAACGGGCCCCAAGAGCUCUCCUCCUAACGUCUGCGGGUAGGCCCACUAUGGACCUUGGGAAGCGUGAUUUUGGCCGACUAAACAAUUUUGAUUCAUUAGUCCAAAACCCUCUUUCAACUCAUUUUUUUUAAAAUAGUAAUAAUUUAUAUUUUUUUAUUAUUUUUUAAUUAUUUUUAUAAAUUUUAAAAUCGUUAAGCAAAAUAUGGAUUUAAGAUAUAAAUAAUUUAUUGAUCAGAUUUUUAAAUUUUAUUUUUUUAAAAAUAAAAAUUAAAAACUUUGAAAAUAAAUUUUUAAAAAUUAAAAAUUAAAUUUUAUACCGAAAUAGUUUCUUUUCUCGAAAAUAAUAAAAGAUGUUUUUCAAAAUUUAGUUCUCAGACGAACGCAAGGCGUAGAUUUUCUAUGCAAAUUGGCCUAAAUAUUAUCCCUAUCCCUGAUAAUGCAAUAAAUAAAAAACAAAACCCCGCUCCGACCCUUCCCUCCAAAACCCUUCCCCUCACCUCGUCUUCUCCGGCACCGAUGGCUUCCGCCGCCGACGCCUCCGGGGAGGACGCGGCUGCGGCGGCGAUCUUGCCGCCGUACGAGCUCCGCGCGACGCUCUCCGGGCACAAGCGCGCGGUCUCCGCGGCGAAGUUCUCCCCCGACGGGUCCCUCCUCGCCUCCGCCUCCGCCGACAAAACCCUCCGCAUCUACUCCGCGCACUCGCUCUCCCUCCUCGCCGAGCUCUCCCCCGCCCACGGCGAGGGGAUCUCCGACCUCGCCUUCUCCUCCGACGCGCGCCUCCUCUGCUCCGCCUCCGACGACCGCUCCCUCCGCCUCUGGGACCUCGCCGCCCCCGGAAACCCUACCCUCCUCAAAACCCUAAUCGGCCACACCAACUACGCCUUCUGCUGCGCCUUCAACCCCCAGUCCAACCUCGUCGCCUCCGGCUCCUUCGACGAGACCGUCCGCGUCUGGGAGGUGCGCUCCGGGCGCUGCCUCCGCGUCCUCCCCGCCCACUCCGAGCCCGUCACCGCCGUCGACUUCGACCGCGACGGCGCCCUCAUCGUCUCCGGCAGCUACGACGGCCUCUGCCGCGUCUGGGACUCCGGCACCGGCCACUGCGUCAAGACGCUCAUCGACGACGAGAGCCCGCCCGUGUCCUUCGCCAAGUUCUCCCCCAACGGCAAGUUCGUCCUCGCGAGCACCCUCGACAGCACCCUGGUGAGAACCCAAUCUCGACAUUUUGUCUCUUUUCCUGUGAAUUUUGCUGCUUUGAGUGUGUAAUUAAAAGUUAGUGUAAUAGGGGCCAAAUGUGAACUAUGGAUCAUAAGCAGCGCUGCUGUGAACACACUGGAUUGAAUUAGGAUAGUUUCAGGAAUAGCUGUUCUACUAAUCACAACAAACACUCCCCCAAUGGCAAGUUUGUGCUCGCGAGCAUGCUCAACAGCACCCUGGCGAGACCCUGAUUUUGACAUUUGAUUUUCUGUGAAUUUGGCUACUCUGAGCGUGUAAUUGUUAGCGUAAUAGGGGCCCAAUGUGAAUGGUGAAUCAUAAGAAGCGCUGCUGUGAACAUGCUGGGAAUAGCAUUAUCCCUCUUUUUAUCUCCGAAUUAAUCCACUAAUCACAAGGAAUGCAUCCUAGCGAAAUUCUCCCCCAAUGGUAAGUUCGUCUUCACAAGCACGCUUGACAGCACCCUGGUGAGACCCCGGUUUCGACAUUUUGGUUCUUUUCCCGUGAAUUUUGCUGCUUUGAUAUGUGAUUAAAGUUAGUGUAAUAGGGGCCAAAUGUGAACUAUGGAUCAUAAGAGGCGCUGCUGUGAACACACUGGAUUAAAUUAGGAUAGUUUCAGGAAUAGCAUUAUCCCUCUUUUAUCUCCGAAUUAAUGCCCUAAUCGCAAUAAAGUGAACAAACGUAUCCUAGCGAAAUUCUCUCCAAAUGGCAAGUUCGUGUUCGUGAGCAUGCUCGACAGCACCUGGUGAGACCACAAUUUUGACAUUUUCCUUGUAAAUAUGAUUAGGCACAUGGAAAACAAAAAGUUGGUUCUUUGAAUAACCCUAGAUUAUGUUUUAUUUAGUCAGGGGAUAAUUCAGGAUUAGCUGAACUAGGAUAAUUAGGUAUAACAAUUAUAAAAGUAUCGAUAGCACUUUGUUAAGACCCGCUGGACUCGGUGAUUUGAUACUAUUGCUUUGUGCGAGUAUGUAAUUGUGUGGGAUUAGGCAAAGUAAAAAAAAAAAAAGAAAAAAAACGAAAGCCGCUUCUUUUAAUUUCCUAUUAGAAGGUGAACCCUAUAUUAAGCUUUUGUUUAGGGGAUAGAAUGUGACAAAUAAAUCAUUAGACAUUAAACGUGGGUAAUCUCUUUAUAUAUUUUUUGCUUUGUUUGAGUUUUUAAUAGUGUGUGUAAAAGUUGCUUCAUUUUUUUUUCUGUUAGAUGUUGAACACUAGAUUAAAUGUUGGUUAGGGGAUAACUGGGUAGAAAUUAAGCACUCCAUUAAUGAGGCCAAUGUGACAAAUGAAUCAUAACAACAGCUGCCAUGGAAAUAUCGGAUUGAACUAGGAUAAAUGGAUUUAGCCUGAUCAUAAGAAUGCCGGAUAGCACCAUGGUGAGACCUGCUGGGCUUGGUGUUUUUGACAAUUUCUUGGUUGAUCUAUUGUUUUGCUCGAGUGUAUAAGCGGGUGUGAUUAGGCAAAGGGGAAUAAAGGGGGGAAAAAAAAUUGGUUCUGUGAAUUUCUGGUUGGAAGUUGAACUCCAGAUUGAGUUUUUUGUUGGGAGAUAAAACGUGACAAAUGAAUCAUAAGAACAGCUGCUGUGAAUAUAAUGGAUCAAAUCAUUAAGGAAGGAUGAUUUCAGGAAUAGCUUGUCCAUCCAGCUGCUGGAAUAACACUAUUCCUCAUUUAGGCCCCACUUGUCCUGAUAACCACAACAUUUAUCCUUUGUCGUUUUGCUGUUGUACGUCCAAUGUAAACCCAAAAGAUAGAAUUGAUAAUCCUGCAAUCAUUAUAGUUGUGCCAGCAAAGUAAAACUAAAUGUGAGAUAGACUUUGUUUGUUGUUAUAUCCGAAUAAUGGGAUUGCUCAGAAAUUAUAAGUUAUUCAUGCAUAACUGAUCCCUGAAUCAAGAACGUACAUUGGAUGAAUUUUGUAGGUUUUAAAGAUUAAUAACUGGAAUAGUUAGAUACAAUUGGAAUGCUGGUUGAAAAUUCUUGUUACUUGUUAAAAUCUUAGGGAAGGCAUUCCAUGAUCGAGAACUUUUAUUUCGCAUUGUUGGACCUUUUUAAGGGCACUGCCUGCAUUAACUCUUUGUAGUAUAUGGAUGUUCAAGUUUGUUAUUGAUAUCUUCUUUCGUUCUUAGAAUCGGGGAAUAAUAUGUGGCUCGGAACGGGCCAACGUCAUAGGCUCAGAGCUUGGACAAGCUCGUCUUUUUUUCUUCCUCACUGAAAGUGAGAAACCAAACUCUAGUUGAACAAAUUUUGGUGUUAACUUUUGUGAUAUAUUAUGAGAUGAACAAAAAUUAGCAUAUGCACUAGUAAUGUGAAUUGGUUUUCUGGACAUAUUUAUUUUAAUAAUUCAUCAUAUUCUGUCAUUUUUGCCUUAAAAAUGUUAUGGUAUGAAUUCGUUCUUAUGACAUCAGUUGGGAAGGCUAUCUCAAUUUUCAUCAAAAGUUUAUCUGGAAACCUCAUCAAGUUGUCUAGAUUUUUAUUGAAGUAAUGCAGUGCUGGAGCAAACAGAUACCAUGUUGGUGAUAGUUCCAUUCAACAUUAGCUCAUAUUGCCUUUGCCUAAUCGUUAUGCUUUUGUAGACUUGUAGUACUCAAGUAAGUGAAAUAACUGUCAUAUUUCACUGAAGGAGUAAAAGUUUGGUAACUUUCUUUUUCUCCAAAUCUUAUAAGAGCAAGAAUAGUGGUGGUGUCCUAUCACCAUAUACAAUUCGAUGGAAAAAAGUUCAAAUCCUCCUUUGUGUUUUAGCUCUAACUCUAUUUCAAGACCUGACAAUCGGCCUAACCACAUAAGUAAGGAGAGUUUAUAGAUAGCAUUCCAUUUUUAGCCAUAUAAGUAUGCUGCUAUAACACCUCAGCUGUUUUUGAUUAUUUGAGAUCAAUACUGUACCAAUUUAUUUCAGUAAUUUUAAGUGCACAAGAUACAGUUCUUGUUGAUAUUUGUAUUGUUUGGAAAGCAUUCAAAAAAGAUACUUUCCCAAUAUAGAUGUUGCUGAUACAUGCCUGCCUAAACUUUCUAUUCAGCGGCUCUGGAAUUAUUCUGCUGGGAAAUUUCUAAAAAUAUACAAUGGGCAUGUCAACAAGAAGUUCUGCAUUCCGGCUGCAUUCUCGAUUACGAAUGGUAAGUACAUUGUGAGCGGCUCGGAGGACAACUGUGUGUACUUAUGGGACCUUCAAACGAGGAAGAUCGUUCAGAGACUGGAGGGCCACACAGACACGGUCAUCGCCGUUUCGUGCCAUCCCAAAGAGAACAUGAUCGCGUCGGGUGCGCUAGGUAAUGAUAAGACGGUUAAAGUAUGGGUGCAGAAGGAAGAGGAUCAAAUGAUCAAAUGGAAGAGUAAAUAAGGUUGUUUCCUCUUGCUUUCCUCUUGACUUGGUUAAAGGUUUUGAGCUUUUGUUCUCCUUUUCCUUUGUAGAUUGGAAAAAUGUUUCCUUAGGUCGGCUAAUCUAAUUUUUGUCUACAUAUGGAACUAGGCAUUUUGAGGUCACUGGAAGCUUUGAAGAAUCACGCUUUAUAAGAAAUCCGUUCUAAUACUAAAGUCCAUUAAGAACCAUUUUCCUAGAUACGAAACUAGGCGAUUUUUGUCAAAAUUUUUAUGUCACUGGAUGCUUAGAAGAGUCACGCUUGAUAGUAAGUCAAAUUUAAAUAGUAAAGUACCAUGUAGGGGGAAUAUACUACCCUAAAAGAAAUCAGAUUUAGUAAGAUUUGACGACAUUUAUAAAUUAAACCCCUAGAUUAUUGUUAUUAUUAUAAUAGAGAGACUCAACAUAGCGUGCAAGUUACUACUAAAUUUAACUUGUUCUGACAUAUUCAAACAGCCCUAAAACUCUGUAGAAUGGAUUAGCUGUUAAUCCAUUAUGAAUCUUUCUUUUCUUAUGUCAGAUUAAUUCUAAUUUUUUUGUUUUGUGAUCUAAACUCGAUAAUUCCUCUAAUUUUUUUAAUUUGUCACAGAGCCUGAGUUAUUUCAAUUUUCAAGUAGUAUUUAUUCUUUUCUUUUUUUUUUUUUUUUUUUGGCUGCAGAAUUUGGUUUUGCAUGUGAUGUGGAGGCUAACAGAGUAACUUGGACUUCCUCUUUGAGUGGAUUUGAUUGUUGUCUAAAGCUGAAACACUGAGGCAAAAAGAUAAGCAACGCUUAUCUUAUCUACUAAAUGUUUCUUAUUUACAAGAUUUUCAGUUAUUUCCAGCCUUAGUUUUCAUGUGCUCCUUCCAUAUGCGGAUAUGCCUUCCCUCUUUAUUUGUGUCCAUCAGUACGGGCCGUACCCACCAUACCGUAUCGUACCGAUAAGAUAUCGGCAUGAUACGACUCCAUGCCAAUGGCAUCGCUUAAAACCCUUAUAUGCCAUACCGUACUAUGUCAGUAAGUUUUCGACACAAUUGGGUGCCAUAAUUAAGUGUUAUUAUUAAUCUCAUCAUCUUUGCCUUUCUUGUCAAUCUUAUUUGAGGUAGAGCCUGUUUGACCCAGAUAAUGCUUUUAUAGAGGCUCUAGAUUCAGAGCUUCUCACUGCCGCAUAUAUAAGCAGACGCUUUUGUGGGUCUCAAUAGUUCGUUUCAUCUUUUUUCCACACUAAAAGUUUCUAACAAAGAGGCGCCUUUGCCUACCAGAUUCCUUCCAAAUAGAGCAUGCCCCUAUCAUCUUUAAGCAUGAUAGUUUCUUUGGGUCAAUUGCAAGUAUGGUUUCGUCCUCGAAGUUUUGAUUGUAACGCUUUGGCAUUUGGAGAUCAACUCUGAUUUCAAUUUCAUUCUCAGAGUAUUUGUUUUACCACGUAGUCUCUGAGCUUCGUCUUCUGCUUCAAUUUUUACUUUCCUGAGAUUUUUAAUUCCAACAAAACAAAUUCCAGCGAUGAUUCUGACGGUAGCGUCUUUCUGAGACGGUGGGUAAACAAAAUGGCUUGAAUUUUUAUGCAGAGUAAACAUCUGAGCCUAAAUUGUUACAGUUGAAAUCGCGAGGACAAAAUUGAUUUGUAAUUAAUCCAACGUUUCUCAUGUCCUGGUGACCGAGUUUCGAUAGUAAACAUUUUCCUGAGCCUGAUUUGGUCCAAGAUACAUCUUUCUGAGAGUUUUUACUUCAAAAAUGUGGUGAUGAAAGAUUGUGAGAUUAUAUUUUAGGUAAUAAGAUACAGAACGUAUCUGAACUGUGGGCCAGUUUGAAUCAGCUGUCAAAACUUCCAAAAUUUCGAGUUUAGUAUUUAAGCCUUUCAAUUUGUUUGAUUUGAGUCAGUUAACAGUAUUUUGACGUCAAAAAUUAAAUGUGUUGUUUAUUUUUAUAAGUUUAGUUAGGACACUUCAUGCAAUUCUCAUAACUAGAAACUCAUUAAAGUAAAUAAUUAACUUAAAAGUAAAAAUUUAUAUAAUUUACCUGAACUAUGGAUUAUUUUGAUUUCGCUAUCUAAUCUUUCAAAAAUUUGAUUUUACUAUUCAAUCUUUCAAUUUGUUUGAUUUGAGUUAGUCAAGGAUAUUUUGACUUCAAAAUUUAAAUGCGUUGUUUAUUUUUACUCGUCUAAUUAGUAUACUUCAUGCAAUUCUUACAACUAUAAAUUUAUUGGAGUAAGUAAUUAACUUGAAUUUCGAAGUCAAAGUAUCGUUGAUGGACUCAAAUCAAUCAAAUUGAAAGGUUAGCUCUAAUGUCAAAAUUUUGAAAGAUUGGGUAGCCUAUUCAAAAUGGUCCAUGAUUCAGAUAAUUUGUGUGUGUUUUCACCUCUUUGUUAAUUGUUAUUGUGCUUGCUUUAUUCCUUAAUAAGAAAAAUUAAUACAAACACUUUCCAUGUUUUUCAUGACUUUUUUAUGAAAUUGUUCUUCAGUAGUUGUCAAUGCGUCGACACACGCAAACACUGAUUGCUAGCUCUUACUUGACUGUAUGCUUUUGUGCAUAAAAUAAUAUAAGGGUAAAAUGUAUGGAGACCCCCUGAACUUUAGCUUGUUCGCAAAUAGGUGCUUGGACUUUCAAUUCUGAUAGAGAGAUUUUUAAAAUUUUAUCAAAUAGUUUAAUAGACCUCUCUCUUCAAUUAAACUAUUUUAUAAAGUUUGAGCAGUUUUUUUUUUUUUUUUUUGCCAGAAUUAAAAGUUCAGACGUCUGUUUGCAAAAGAGCUAAAGUUCAUGAGGUCGCCAUACAUUUUUGCCAAUAAUGUAUAUAUCAAAUAAUCAUAAUGUUAACUGAUCUAAAUUUGCUUACAUGGUAAUUUGCUUAGUUACUUGAUUUUGAUUUUUGAAUUUGAUUUGUGCCCUGGAGGGUUAACCCCCAAAACCUCUUGAAAUCCUUAAAAAGGGGAAAGUAAAGGGAAAAAAGUCUACCCUGAACUUUAGGCCUCGUUUAGCAUCGUUGUUGUUUUUCUUCUUUUCUCUUUAGAAAAUUUAUGUAAAAUAGUGUUGGAUCGGUGACCCAAACUAUAUUCCAAAAGUUCGAGUUUUAAGAAAGAUAUAAUUAAUUCAUUUAAAGUUUACCGACACAACUCUCAUGGGUCUCGUGAUGCUGGUUUUUUUGAGCCACCAAUUCCUUGCCCCCUCUCCCCUCCCCUCCGAGCACCUAAUCGUUGGCUCUAAUCAUUAAUUCCAAAUUCAAGCCGUAACUAAUUCAGCGUACAGGCAGUGUCAAUAGGUCUCGAUUAUGAUACCGUUCAAUCAGCUUUCUGCCACUUUGAACAUGACUCGAUUUAACUUGACUUUCUGUCAUUCCAACGUGACUCGGCCCAACUUGACUUCCUGUCAGCGGAUAAAAUGCUGGUCUCUUUAAAUCAACAAAUAGUUUUGAAGGAGAUAGUGGAUUGUUUGUAAUCCUUUCAUCUAAAUUAUUUAUUUGGCAACAAAAAAAAAAAAAAAAAUCUUGGAAGCAACUUAUUUUGUCUUUCUCAUUUUUUUAAAACAAGUUUUUCUUCAUCAUUUGAACGGAAUGCAUUGCAAGCUAACCAAUAAUGACAAUAAAAGAAAAUUGUUCUACCAAUAUAUCAAAUUAUACAGAACGAAACAACGAUUAUACCAAUGGGGACCUUAGCUCCUCAAUUUUUGCAAUUAGAUCUUAUAAAUUUUAUCAAAUAGUUUGAUUCGUUUUGUGUCGUGUUGUGCAUAUAAUGUAUAUGAUAGAAUAGGAUAAAUAAAUUUCUUUAAUUGCUAUAGUUUAGGGGAAUCUCUGUAUAUUUUCCCCAAUAAAAACUGUGAAGUGCUUUAUUAGAGUAUAAGUUGCAUUAUGUAUGAAAUAGCUUUGCUUUGUUUGUGGUGGUUAUUCUAAGUUUCAACUUGGUUCAAUCAUGUCAUUACUUUUACCUUUAAAUUAUUAGAAUUAUAAUACUUCCAAAAGUAAAAAAAAAAUAUUUAAUUUUAUCCUAUUUUUGAUGAUGAGAUGUUCUUAUCAAAUGAUGAAUGCAAUUAAAUACGAUCCAAACUACUUUUUAAAAGUUAAAUUAUAUAAUUAAUAUUUGUCAAUUUUAAGAUCACUAGAAUACAAUACACUGAUAUUUCUUUUUUUUAAAAAAAUUCAAAUAUAUUAAAUCAUGUGCGUAAUCACUACCGCAUUUGAUUAUUUAAUAGGCCCAGAAAAAAAAAUGAUUACCACAUGAAAUUUUUUUAUAUUUUAUUUGAAAUAAUCGCAUAUGAUUUCUACAAUGAUAUCAAAUAACAAAUAUAUUUCUAUAAAAUUUAAAUUAUCAAAUUUAUCUUUCUAAACGUCAUCCCGUUUGCAGAUAUAUCUUUCUGUUAUCAAAAUUUAGAUAAUUUAGAAAAGUUAACCACAGUUAGUUAAGGUGUAAAAUGACUUUUUUUUUAUUUUUAUUUUUUUUAAUCUCUUAUACAUAUAAUUUGUAUUCUAAUGUUGAGUCCCAUCAUUUUUUUUGCCCUCUUUUUUUUAUCCAUGGCGACGAUGAGAUCUACGGUUGCGGCGACAUCGAAGGCAAGGCUCUCGAUCGCGGCAAAUAUGAGGAAUGUUGCACGUGCUGCGGCGAAGGCAAGGAGAGAGAGAAAGAAAGAUAGUUUUUUAUAGAUAAAAAUUUUUAAGGGCAAAAUAGCCAUUUUACGUUUUAAUUAUUAAAAAGAUAAUGGUGAAUCAAACGGUAAGGACAUAUAUGAAUCAACUAGAACUCUUAGAGGGAUAUAUUUGUAAACCAGAAAAUUUUUAAAGGAAUAAAAUUGAUAACUUAAGUUUUAUUAGGGUAUAUUUGCUAUUGGUUAAAUUACAAAAAAUUCACUGUCAAUACCCACUUUUUCACUUUCCUCUCUGUCAUUAAAAAACCUACCCUUUGUUCUCUUAAAAAAUAAACAAAUAUUUGAUUUGACCCUCGCCGUAAGUGUUUCUUUGGGUUCCGUUUAUAUCAUAUUUUUUAUACCCAAAAUAUUUCUGAAACCUUCAUCCUUUCUCAUCCUCGGCUGUGCCACGUCGCCCUCCGCCGCCGCGCCCUCGCCGACCUCUCAGUCCAUGCCCACACACACACCCUCACUUGCCUCCGCCGCCUCACCCUCGCCCCUGCCCACCUCUCCGUCCAUGCCCACUCCGAAUAUGAUAAAUACUUUGGUCAUUUUGUUACAACGGUUUGUUAAUUUUUUUUAUUUUUUAAGAAAGUAACAUGUAGAUUUUUAAAUGACAGGAGGGAAAAGUGAAAAAACGGAUAUUAACAGAAAAAUUUUCUGUAAUUUAGCCUUUGCUAUUUGAUAUCUUUGCAGGUAUCUAUAUAAAAUUAAUCCUUUAUAUUUUUAUUUAUUUUUAUUAUUUUUUAAUUUUAUUUCACGUGCCCCAUGCACCUAUAUCUAUUAUAUUAGUUAACUCUAGUAACCUAGAGUGAUCAUUAGGUUGAAAAAAAAAGGCCAAGGUAGGAAACGACAUAGUGGGACCCCAAAAGGAAUCAAGUGGCCCAAUUAUGCUAUCCACCUAAAGUAUUAAGACAUAUAAUUAAACCAUCGUAACUUAGCUGAUAAGACAUUUUGAUACGAAAGCAUAGAUUCUGAUAUAUAACCAAACCGCCUUAACUCAGUUGGUAAGAUAUUUCAAUACGAAACUAUAGGUUUUGAGUUUGCUUUGACUCGGUAGUCAAAUAAAAUGUAGGCAUUCUCGGCAUUUUUGUGCUUGGACCGUAGGGCAGUACUAUGAGUACCUAAACUUUUUUUUUUUUUUGGGAAAACUUUAAAAAUCCCCCUGUGGUUUCGUAGGUUUUUAUUUUGCCCCCCUGUGGUUUAAAAUGUAUCAAUUUGCCCCCCUAUGAAUUCUUUUUUCUCUUUUUCUUAUCAAUUUUAUUAUUAUUUUUUUCUUAAAUCAGUGAUAAAGUUAAAAUUAAAGGGUACUAAAGUGAAUAUUUGAUAAAUCUAGAUGGGUAUCUGAAGUUUUUUGUAUAUAAUUUAAUAAAAUAUUAACGAAAAAGCUACCGAAAAGAUAAAAACCAAACCACAGGGGGACAAAUUGAAAUAUUUUAAACCACAGGGGGGCAAAGCGAGAAAAUACGAAACCACAGGAGGGGUUUUUGAAGUUUUCCCUUUUUUUUAUUUUUUAUUUUGAACUCGUAUGCAGUUAUUAUAACUGAAUUUAUGGGGCUGUGUAGUUAUACGUAGUUAUAAUUGUGCUAUAAUUUUAAUUAUAUGAAAAUUUAAAUUCGGCGUUUGUUUUGAUACAUUUAAAUUUAACUAGUAAGUUAUAAUUGCAAGAGAAAAUUCAAUUACAGCAGUUGGAAUUACGUUUAAAUUGACGUAGUUUUAACGGCAGCACUUGAAAAGAAGGUAAACUUAUAUUUCUAAUUAUCUUUUAAAUAUAUAUUUUUUGUCCUUGCUAUGUAGGGGUAAACACAUCAUCCUAUAUAUAAAAAUGAUAUCAAUUCGUAAAUGCAUUUCUAAAUAGCAUGCAACCAAACAAAGUAUUUAUAGCUGUAGUAUUUUUUAUUACAUCCACCAAAUAAAAUGCAUAUAAUUUAUAAUUACUGCAUUUCUAUCCACAUGUGCAUAUCUAGUUGCACUGUAUUCAUAAUUAUAUCGAGCCAAACAUCGUCUGGUUUGCGUUAUGUAAUAUUUUCGGUUAUUUUGACAUAACCAGAUAUUUGAGAUUUCUGAAUCAGAUUACUAUUGCAUUAGAGCAUUUGAUUUAAUGGAGUAAUAUAAUGCUGGAUUAUAGUGUAUAUACAAUUACUAUGCUUGGUUCAUUUUAUAAAAUUCAGUAACCUUGACAAUAAAAUAUAGUCCAUCCCACAAUUGCCUUCAUAUUUGACAAAAUGUAAAAUUCAAAAAAUAAAUAUAAAAUUUUAAAAUUUAAAAUUAAAAUUUAAAAUUUAAAAUAUGAUAAUUCAAAAUUUUAAAUUAAAAUUUUUAAAAAAACGUAUUAAAAUUUAGUGUUUGUCUUUUGAUAUCGGGCCGGGUGGGGGAAUGUAAGAUAACCCGCCAUAAAUAAUAAUAAUGAGACACUUCUCCUGCUUGGUAAUAUUUUUAAAAUAAUUCUGCAACAUUUUAAUGCUAUAACCCGCCAUAAAUAAUAAUAACGAGACACUUCCCCCGCUUGGUAAUAUUUUUAAAAUAAUUCUGCACCAUUUUAAUGCUAUAUUACCGAUCACAUUACAAACUAGAUAAAUAAAAUACAAUAAUCCUGAUAAGAUUGACCGUAAUUCUGGCAGGAUAAUCCGAACCAGUUAAAUUAAAAUGGUUGGUAAUUAAUCAAAUCAAGAAAGUACAAGUAUGAUUACGAAUUUAAUAAAUUUCUUAUCGGAAUCCCAAUCGGAAAUUGAACCUAAAAUCGAACCCCGAAAAAGAAAAAAAAAAUUUAUAAUUUUUUUGUGCAAGUAGAAACCUGCUUUAUUUAAUAGAUUUCGAAUCAAAGCUAAAUUUACCAUCUUGAACUAUUAGAUUUUGGUACAAUGCUCUCAGAUCAAAAUAUUCACUAUAUUUAGUCAUUAAUAUCUCGAGAUUUUGGAUUUUAUUUGGUUAUAAUUUUGUCCACCGGUGAAGUUGGUAAUAUCUCAAGAUACAAUUAUAUGAUUUUGGGUUUUCAAAACUAAGAGCUUACAAUUGCGGUUUUAAACUUUAAUUUUUUUUUGGUUUGUGGAUUUGGUAUUGGUUUCGGAAUUCGGCCGAGAUUAUCGAAUUUAGUUAUCAGAAGUGAUUUUGAAUCUAAAGUUACUUUUGAGUUCAGUAGAGCGUUUGAGAACGACAGAAAAAAAAAAAAAAAAUCCGAUUCCACUUUUCAGAAUCAGAAAAUUGAUUUUGAAGGCCGCAGAAUCAGAAAUAGAAAAGAACUGCUUCUUCAAAACUGAUUCUGAUCUUGAACUAAAAUUUUAAAUUUUUAUUUUUAUUUUAGAUUCAAAGUAUGAAUUUAACAUUAAAUUUAAAAUUUAAAAUUUUAAAAUUCAUAUUUGAAUUUUUAAAUCUCAAGUUUUCAAAUUUAAAAUUUAGCUUUUAAAUUUUAAGUUUAAGUUUCAAAUCUCAACUUUUUAAUUUUAAAAUUCAAAAUUUUAAAUUUGAAAAAUCAAAAAUUUAAAUUUUAAAUUUAAGAUAAAAUUUAAAUUUUGACAUUUCAGAUUUUAAAACUUAAAUUUAAAAAUUUGAAAGUUUCAAAUUUAAAAUUAUAAGUUUUAAUUUGCAAAUUUCAAAUUUUAAAUUUUUAAAUUUUGAAAUUCAAAAUUCUAAAUUCUAAACUCAGCCAAACGCUCUACAGCGUUUUACCAAAAUCAAUUCUCUAAAUCAAAAUCACUUCUAUGAAAAUCACUUUUUCAGAAGCUAGGUCAAAUAGGCCCGUUGAACCCUUUGAAACGGAACAGAGAGGACACCUUGGAGAAAUAUGAUUGGUUUGUUAUUGAUGACGUGGUGCGAGUGCGACAGUGUAAAAUUUCUCGCCAACCAUAUCGGAUUCGGAUCCGAUCCAUCCAAGUUCGGCCCAUUUCAAGCGGAUGAACAUAACGUAACGUGUCUUAAAGAGGUGAAGCUCCAAAGUAUUAUAAUCUUUUGUUUCGAUCUAUAAAAGCGCAUGUGCUUUUUUACAUGCUAUAUAUAUUUUUUAAACCAUAUUUUUUUCAACAUUGGGAAGUAACCAUGAAAGUUGGAAAGGACCCAAAUGUUUUUAUUUUUAUUUUUAUUUUUUAUUUUUUUCCCUCGAAAAAUGCGGAAAUAAAUAUUAAACAAUUGGAUAUGCACAUGAUUAGUACUAAUCCCUAGUAAUCCACCCGUGAGAUAUAUGCUGUAGAGUCACAAGAGGAAUCUUAAUCAAUUGCAUAAAUAUAUUUCUUUAUAUAUAUAGUACAACUUGUGUCUUCUUUUGUAAAUUAAAAACAAAUAAUAAUAAAAUUUUUUUUAAAAAAAAACAAAUUGCGUAGGUGAUCUCGUUUUGAUGAUCUUGGCACGUGCUUAUCUAAGUUUGUUCACGGUUAAAUUAUAAAAAGCCCCCUUAUAUUUUAACGCCGGUUUGAAUUACCACUCCGUGUUAAAAAUUGCUCAUUUAUCACCCUACAUUUUGUGAUUAUUUCAAAAAGAUUAAAAAAUUUAUAAAUUUGACAAAUUAAGCUGUGAAACUUCACUAAAAUAAGUUGGCAUACCACAUUGUUCCAUAUCUCAACAUAUAUUCAAUUUGCAACUCAAAAAAAUUUAAAAAAAUUUAGAUAAAGGAGAUCUCUUAUUUUGUUAAUACUAUCAAAAUUAAUAGUUCAGUGAGCAAUAUUUUAUUCAGUUUUUAUGAUUAUAUUGCAUUGAUUAUAGAUAACUUUAUUUGUAAAUUUAAUUUUACAAAAUUUUAAAGUUGAAUUUAAUAAUUAUCUUGGAUAGCUGGAUCUAUUUGAGAUAACAACAAAGUGUAGAAAAAUAAUUGAUACAACUUUUUUAUUCAUAAGGGUAAUUGAGACAAACAUUAAAUUGCUAGGGAACUUUUUAUAAUUAUAUAACUAUAAUUAUUUUAUUUUUUAUUAAUUAAUUAUAGAUAUCACCGCUGUUUGUUUGAUAGAAAAUUAGUAACUUCGUAACCAAAGUAUCCCACUUUUACUAUUAAUUGUUACAUUACCACAUGAGAGAAUGAAAAAAAAAGAUUACAAUAGUUAAUUUUUUUACUAUUUUUUCUAUCUCUUUCUCUUGAAAUAAACUUGAUGUAGAGCAAAGUCAAUUAUGACUUAAUGAGAAAGUGAAGUUAUAGACGAAUUUAGGCUUCGUUUGGGAUUGCAGAGAGACAGCCUUACGUGCAGUGAGAAAAUACGUUAGAAAAAUAUCAUGUUUGUUUCCGUACUUAAUAUUACGUUCCGCAUAUUGCGAUGAAAACAUCUCCUUUAUUUUCGGCGAAAUAAAGAUGCGACUUUUUGGUCUAAAUUAUACGGCUCAAUGACGCCAUCCUACUAUGCUAUAGUUUAGUAUUAUUUUUAUUUGCUAUACUGUAUUAGACUUUUUUUUUUUCAAAAACAUUAUCAAACUAUCAUCCUGUUAUUUUUUUUAUAUUAUACUUUAAAUUUAUUUUUAUUUUCUAUUUUAUAUUCUCUAUAAUAUUACUAAACUAUCGGUGUCUCGCCAAUCUUUAUACUACUAUUAACAAAUUGAUAAGUUUACAUAGAAGCUGAUGACUGUAUUAUAAAGCAAUGAUUUAAUAGUAUGAGAAAAGCAAAAUGAGCAAAAUAAAAUGGUAUCAUUCAAAAUUUCUAUCUAGUUAGUUUCAACUAUUUUUAGUUCACAAUUUCUAUUUUUUUUUAAUAUCAAAAUAGACCUAAUAUAAGCUCCGUUAUGUACAGGGAAGUAAACAGAGCGAGCCAAGGGACGGGAGUGGUCCCCCACCUCCCACUUCAUUUUCUACUAGGUCAGGGCGAGUUAAUUUUAAUCCUAUUUUUGGCUUCCAUUUAUCGCUUCAUUUGGGGUGGAUCGGAGUGGCAGUGCACUUUUGGCGGACGGAUCGGGACGGAUCGAAGGAAAAAAAGAGACUUCUGCAUCUCGCUCCGUUUACUUGAUAGAUUCAGAGUUGAUUAUAUCUUUUUAUAUUUUUGGGAAAACUUUAAAAAACCCCCUGUGGUUUCACACUUUUUUAUUUUAGUAUCCUGUGGUUUAAAGUGUAUCAAGUUAGUACUCUGUAGUUUUAUUUUUGUAUCAAGUUAGCACCUUGUGGUUUUAUUUUGGAAAAACUUCAAAAACCCCCCCUGUGGUUUCGUAGUUUCUCACUUUGCCCCCCUGCGGUUUAAAAUAUAUCAAAUUGCCCUCCUGUGAUUUCGUUUUUAUCUUUUCGGUAGCUUUUUCGUUAAUAUUUCAUUAAAUUAUAUACAAAAAACUUCAGAUAUCCAUCUAGAUUUAUCAAAUAUUCACUUUAGUACCCUUUAAUUUUAACUUUAUCACUGAUUUAAGAAAAAAAAAUAAUGAAAUUAAGAAGAAAAAGAGAAAAAAGAAACUACAGGGAGGACAAAUUGAUACAUUUUAAACCACAGGGGGGCAAAGUGAGAAUCUACGAAAACACAGGGCGGGUUUUCUGAAAAUUUUCCUUUUAUUUUUGUAUAAAAUUAGUACCCUGUGAUUUUUGAACCACAUGAUACUAAAGUGAUAAAGUGCGAAACCACAGGGUACUAAAGUGAUAAAGUGCGAAACCACAGGGUACUAACUUGAUACACUUUAAACCACAUGGUACUAAAGUGAAAAAGUGCAAAACUACAGAGUACUAAUCUAAUACACUUUAAACCAUAGAAUAUUAAAAUGAGAAAAAGUGAAACCACAAUGGGGGUAUUUGAAGUUUUCCAUUGGAUUAAGACCAAACGUCACUUUUUUCCGCACAAAUUAUAACCAUUCCAUAAGCCGGCCUCUUUUAACGAAUUUGAAACUUUUUGAUCUGAAGUGAAAAAAGUAAAAUUCAGCUAUUAUAAUACGCUAGACCAUUUCUUUUUUUCUUGAAAACUGGCCUUCCUGUGCGUAUAUACAUAGAGUGUGGAGCUACUGUACUAUUGAAAGUAUAGAGAAUUUUAUAUUUUCGAUUUUUUGACCCUUGGAUCAAGAAUUAUACGGUUGGGAUGAUUACGGACUCUGCUAGAGUUUAGCAGUACUCCUAGGAUUGAGUGGUCCUCACAAAAUAAUAGUAUUAAUCCAAAGAUUAGAAAUAAUUAAAUGGACUGAUUUAAGGGCAAAAAAGUCGGAAACACCAGAUCUUCUAUGUUUUCGAUAGCAUAGUAGCUCUACUCUACUCUCUCUCUCUCUCUCUCUCUCUCUCUCUCUCUCUCUCUCUCUCUAUAUAUAUAUAUAUAUAUAUAUGUUAAUUUUGGACAUUCUUUAGUUUUAAUCAACUAAAUGACACAUUAGCAAUUCUGAUAUAUGCUGUUACCGAAAAGAUUAAUCUAAAUAAAAAUGGAUAUGAUCAAAUUAUGUUCAGCCUCGAUCUAGCCAGAUUUGCUAANUAUAUAUAUAUAUAUGUUAAUUUUGGACAUUCUUUAGUUUUAAUCAACUAAAUGACACAUUAGCAAAUCUGGCUAGAUCGAGGCUGAACAUAAUUUGAUCAUAUCCAUUUUUAUUUAGAUUAAUCUUUUCGGUAACAGCAUAUAUCAGAAUUGCACCAUCUUAAUUAUGACAUAUAUUCAUAUUUAUUAUUUUGUUACCUUCAGUCAAUUCACGUGGCAUAUAUAACUCAUCUGAUAUUCAUUAUGCCUAUGAAAGGAGGUGGUAGGACAAUUUCUAAGUCAUUUUUUAUUAGAUCGAUCUUUUAGCUAACAAUUGUUUAUUAUUCACAAUAAUUUUUUAUUAUAAAUUCUUAAAUCACGAUGUAGGUUUAACCCUUAGGAACUUUGCUCUAUUUAGAAUAUUGUAGUAUUAAUUUGCAACUUGCUACUACCUUAUAUUAUCACUAUGUGCUUUAAUAUUUCAAUCUACAACUAUACAUAAGCAUGAUGGUAUGAUUUAAUAUGAUUAACCCCCCAUCUUCAUGGAUCUCAACCUUCUAAAAUAAUACAAAAAAACCUAAACAAAAAUAAAAAAAAGAACUAUAUAUUAGCUAAUGCCUUACAUAAAUUAUUGUACAUGUCACAUAUAGUCAUAUGCAUGUCCAUCAAUUAAUUCUCAUACACCAGCAAAAAAUUGGUUGUUCUAGCUCUUUUAUACUUAUUUGGUCUGAUUUUUAAAAUAACUUUUUUACUUGGAAAGUUGAUGUUAAUUAAACACUUAACAAAUAAAAAGAAUUAGGUUUUAUUUAGACUUUUUGCCUUUUUUUAUUUUAGUAAUUAAAAAUUUUGUGUGUUUGGUUGUGCCAGGGGAUGGAUUUUCUUACUCUUUUAGGUUGAGGAAAUAAAAGAACAAAAAUUUAAUAUGAUAUCUUGAGAUAUAUAGAAGUGAAAAAAAUAUACUAAACAAUUAAUGUAGAAGCAAAAAAAAAGUUAUAAAUCAAUUUUUAGUUUUUAUUGUCAAACAAAUUGCUUAGACAUAUGGACUGCAAGCAUUCUGCCAUUUAUGCACGUACCGUGUUAAAAACAUAUAAUUUUUUUUUUCCCUUUUAACAAGCCGAGAAAUAAAAAAGUAUUACGAGGAUUGAACCUCUGAUCUCUCAAUCAGCAACGUAGAAUAUCAACCAACUGCAUCAGAUAGUGCUGACAACAACACUUACAAGGCAGCAAGAAGUUAUUGGGCAGUGAAGCCAAAACAAGCCAUAAUUUGGAAUCUUUUUUUUUUUGAGAGAUAGGUAGCAUGCUACCUGCUUCGUUUAUUUCAUUUAGAAAUAAACUUAGCUAGAAAUGUGAAUCAAUUAGGAUUCGAACUUAGCACCUCGGAUACCAACCAUCAAAUUCUUUGCCACUUGCGCUAGAAAUAAACUUAAUUUGGAAUCUUAAGAAAAAGUUUUGCUAGCUCAUGAAUGACAGAAACACUUAAUAAGUUGAAUAAAAAAAGAAAAGAGGUUUUAAAACACUAGGAAUUAAUGCCUCAAGAUUCCUUUUGAUUUUGCAUAUCUUAGAUGCUAGAUCAUAUCAAAAACUAAAUGUGGUUGGGUCCUUGUCUUUCUCUCACACAAGAAAAAGUUGGGUCCUUAGUUUUUUUGGUUUAUAAGAUAAGUUUGGGUCACUAAUUUGCCAUGUUUGAUGUUUUUUUAAUCUUUUUGGCGUAACUUGAGACGAAUGUAGAGCUGGUACACGAGAAAACAAAAGAAACAACAGAAUAAUAGAUAUAAAUUUAUAUACGCCUAAAAAGAUGAAGGCAAAAGUUCGUGGAGAAAACUGGAAAAAAAAGCUUCUACUAAAUCAUACAAAAAAGAGAAGCUAACAUAAAAUACACUAACUUAGUAGUGUUAGUGUCCUAGCAUGCAUGUGGUUUGUGAUAAGAUAUUCAUUAUAACAACAAUGAUCAUAACAUGCUUUUUGAAACAAUUAUUUUUCUCACUUUAAGAGACCAUUAGCUUGGCACCUUAAUAAAUGCAAAACCCCCCAUGUGAAUGCAUGUCACAUUGUGUGUGGAAUAGCUGGCUAUUGAUCUCACAAGAUCUUGUUGGAUAAGUGGGAGUCAUAAAAUUAACCAAACUUUAAUCAUGUUUUUUUGCAAAAAAAAAAAGGAGAUUUUAAAGUCAUAGUGACAUGAUGGUGCCUUUUUCUAACAAACUCCUAACUUUAUAUUGCUUUUUCAUAUAUAUAUAUAUAUAUAUAUAUAUAUAUAUAUAUAUAUAAAAAUAAAUAAUUAAGAGUUAGUUUGGUAAUGUCGUGGUUAAAAGCAUUAUUUUUAUACUCUCAAAAGCACAAGAUAUGGACUUAAAUUAAAUGGUGAUGUUAAAUUAUAAAAAAACUGUCUGUUAUCUAAAAAAUGUAAGCCAGUAGAGAACGAUAUUAUUUAUAUUUAUAUUCAACACCCUUCUCUAAUACAAUAAGAUUAUUGUGGCAAUUACCACUGAAGAAGAAUGUGUUAGAUCCCCAACUUCAAUCUCAGCACCAUCAAUGUCAUUCUCUGCACUUACAGCCACUUCUACCUCGCACGUGACGCCUACCAUCUCUUUUGGAGCAUUCUGCAUAUGUGGCAUUGGCUAUGGCCUGAUACCAAGCUCUUCCAGAAACUUGGAAAGACUGUGUAUGUUGACAUAUUGAUCGAGGGCAUUUGAACCAAGAUCUUGGACUAUAUAAGCAAAGAUGACUUUAUUGCAACUGACAUGACAUAUUCCGUCAAAACUGAUUAGAAUUUGGAAGAAUGAAACCUAACUACAACAAAAUAUAAAGAUUAGCGAGUAAAAUUGCCAGAGAGAGUUAGGGAUCAAUGGUGCAAUUAAAUUUUUUUAUUUUAUUUUUAUAUGGAGGAGACAUGCAUGGGGACCAAUGUUACAUCAUGCACAUGAGAUCAAAUUUAAUUUACAAAAAUAAUUAGAAAAUGAAAGCAAUGGACUCCAUUAUGUUUCCCCCUCUAAGUGAUAGACUAGGGUUUUGUCCUCUUCUCAUAUUAACAUGUGCUUAAUUAAGAGACUCAAUUAUUUCAUGAGGCUUAUAAUUUUAAAAUAAUUAGCUAAUCACUCCAUGAUAGAUAUAAUAAAGAGGAAAGAGAUUUGAAAGAUCCUUUCAUUUAAUUUAAGGCCCACUCAACCAUUAAUCACAAUUAUGUUGUCACAUCAACCAUUUAAUUAUUAUAUUAUCCAUAAAAAAUUAAUAAAUAGUGUUGGUAGAUGCCCUGGAUUGAGAAUCUUUAAUUUGUUUUUUUUUUUUUUUGUACAUAUAAUAAUACAAGUUGCUUCUAUGAAACAUUAUACAUGUGAACAUAAUAUUAUCUUGGUAAAAAUGUAUGAAGACCCCUCAAUUAUAGCCUAUUUUGAAACAGUCCUUUGAAAAUUUUAUUGAUUUUAUUGAUUACUUUUGCAUAUCUAAUAAUAAUUUUUAAUAUGGUCUUUUUGCAUAAAAAAUCCAUUUAUUUUGGGCUUUUGCAAAAUCGGGUCAUUUUUUUCGUUUUUGCAUAUUCGGUCCGCUUUUUUAGCAAACUGACCAAAAUACCCUUAUAUAUUUUCUCGUCUUCCUUUUUUUUUUUCUCGUUCCUUUUUCCUACUUUUUUUUUUUUCUCUGUCCUCAUUUUCUUUCUUUCGAACAGAUACGUCGUCGUGCCGCCUGGCUCGGCCCGUGCUCGGCUCGUCGCCGCGCUCCAUGGACAGCCGCCCACGGGGGCCGUGCUGGAGCGGAGCGACCCGGAUGUGCCGCGGCCGGGCAGCCGUCGACCAGUGCGUCCGGCGAGGGCCGGUGAGUGCGGGCGGCGGCGGCAACGGCGGGGGGAAGGGGCGGGGGCAAGGGCGAGGCCCGGGCGGCUGCCGGCGCACCCCGGGAUCCGCGGCUUGAAGACCUGCGCGUGAGCUUCACCUGUCCGCUCGUCUCCCACCGUCGACAGACGCCCAUGGGCGGAGCUCGGCAGGAGCUAAGGAAGCUCCACGCGCCCGGGGCGGGCCGGCACGUCUGGAGGAGGGGCGGCGCGAGUCGGCGGAGGCAGAGAAGAAGCAGAGAGAGAAGCAGCAGGGGGGCAGAAGGAACCGAAGAAGCACAGAGGAGCUUAAAAAGAAAAAAAAAAGAAGAGAGAGAGGCAGAGAGAGAAGCGACAAGAGGAAGAAGAAGAGAAGAAGUGUUAAAAAAGGGGUGGAAAUGGUGUAGAUGGUCAAAAUAGAUAAUACUGUUAAUGGUACAUGUAAUCGUAUAAUAAGUGUCAUGGUGGCAAAAUAGUGUAAUUUGUAAUGUGUAAUAGUUCAAGAUGGUGUAAUGGGGUAAUGGUGAAACAUUAUAAUAGUGUAAUGUGAAAUAGGAUGUAAAAUAGUGUAAAUGGUGGUAAUGGUCCAGAUUUGCACCAUUAGGCCAGAUUGGCAUCAUUUAAAAAAUUUUACAACUAUUUUUUUUUUCCCUCUUCCUUUCUUUUCUUCUUCUUGCCUGCCUAGAUUGCACCUUAGCUUUAUUUUUUUUUUCCUCCUUCUCUUCUUCUUCUUCUUUCUUCUUCGACGGAGGCGUCGGAUCGGCGGCGGGGGACGUAGGGGGAGACGGAUCGGGAGGCCACGAGGCGCAGCGGAGACGAUGGGCGAUGGGGCUUCAAGGUGCGGCGGCUCAGGGCCGGGGGGGCCUCGUUGUCGUCGUCGUCACCGGGCAACUAGUAGGAACGCGUAGGAACGCGCGGCGCCGGCACCUAGUAGGAACGCGCGGCGCCGGCGCCUGGUAGGAACGCGCGGCGCCAGCGCCGGCGCGGUGGUAGUCGGGCUCGAGGUCGGCGCGGGGGAGGUCGACGAGGAAGUAGAGCUUCCCCGGCUUGAGCAGGGCGUCGGGGUCGAGCGGUCGGGCCCGAAGUCUGACGCGCUUGACCUCCUCGGACUCGAGUACGGCGAAUCUCGGGUGGUCUCGGAGGUCGACGUCGGCGCCGAACUCCAGCAGCAGCUGGACGAGGUUCGGUCGGCCCUGCGCGAUGGCCGAGUGCAGCAGGCCGACGCCGGACGCAUCGACGGCGUCGGCCGGGCGCCACUCCGGGUCGCUCCGCUCCAGCACGGCGCGGGCGGCGUCCAUGGAAAAGAAAGAAAAGAACGAGAAAAAGAAAAGAGGAGAGAGAAAGAGGAAAGAGAAAAAUGUAUAAGGGUAUUUUGGUCAGUUUGCUGAAAAAACGGACCGAAUCUGCAAAAACGAAAAAGGUGGCCGAUUUUGCAAAAGCCCAAAAUAAGUGAAUUUUUUAUGCAAAAAGGCCUUUUAAUAUUUGCUCAACUAAAUAAAAUAACUCAAAUUUAAAAAAAGAAUAGAAGUUAAGUUGUGUUAUAUGCCCUUAUAAAAAGAAAAGUUAUGGGAAUUAAAAAAAAGUUUAAAUUAAAAGAACAAACUUUCUUUUCUUUUCUCUCUUUUUUUUUUUUUUUAAUUGCAAAGCACUGAAUUAUUGUGAUCAAUCAAAAUCAACCUAACUUAGUAAACCCCCCCCAAAAAAUAAGUUUUAAAAAUAUUGAGUAUGGGCCUAAUUAAACAUGGCCUAUAUUUGAGGGGUCUCCAUAUAUUUUUACCUAAUUUUUCUUAAUGAGCAUACUACAAAUAAUGUGUGAACAACCUCCCAUCUUCCUGGGAUCUCAAGCUCAGGUUAAAAAAAAAAAAAAAAUCUUAUUGAAGAAAAAUUUAUAUAUAUUUGACACGUGCCAACGCAUUGGAAAAUGGGUCAAAGUGAAUUAAUAAAAAUAUUUAAGAUUAUAUACAUCAUAUAAAUAUUUUUGGUACAAUCAAAUGCUCAAGAUCUUCAGAAAUAGGGAUGCAGCCAGUGGGUACAGAUACUUAAAAUUUUAUUUGAAUCUGAAUCCGAAUGAAGCAGACUUACACGAUGCUAAAUGGAUAUAGUUUUGAAUAUGGAUAUUAAAAACGAAAACUCGACAAAUUUGAAUUUAGAUAUGAAUUUUGGCUAUACCUGACCCGAACUCCAACUAUCCGAACCCAAAUUGAUUUCACAUUAUAUGUUGAAUUUAUAUUUUAAAAAUUUAGAUUUAACGUAAUGUAUUUUGAAAUAUUAUAAAGAGAAAUAAUUAUUUUAGGUUCGGAUUCGGGUUCGGUUUCAAAUCUUUGGUCGGUUUCGGAUUUGGAUAUGGAUUUUUAAAAUUCGUCGAAUUCAAAUUCGAAUUCGGGCUUCGGAUUUGAUAUUCGGAUUCGGGUUUGGAUUUUUUAAAAU